AUCAGAAUUCGGCAGCACACACACUAAAAUUGGAACCAUACAGAGAAGAUUAGUGUGGCCCUUGAACAAGGAUGCCGCCCAAAUUCAUGAAGUGUUCCUUAUUUAA